rnacentral:lncRNA from 1 species
GGCCAAAUCCAUGAAUUUUGAGCCAGAUCACUGCUGACUUAGAAAAAGAGUUAGUGAGACCAAGAGAUGCUCACACUCAAAGACCUGUGUGGCUUACAGCAAAGUGUCUUCUUCUUCUCUCAGUAAUUUCUACAACGCUGUAUGAAGUGGGCGGAAAGGGACAACAGUAUCCGUGCAUAAGAAACAGAAUCAGGCUGGUGGCUGUGGCGGGGGUUGCAUGCUUGCCUAGCCUGGGCUUAAUCUCACCCAGCUCUGGAGAAGGAAGGCUGCAGUGUACAGCAGCAUGGCAGCAUGUCUGGAUGGUUUGCAUUGGCCUCAGCAAUUCCCGGGAGGAUCUCUGGGGGUGGGGGGGUCGGCACUGCCAUCACAGGGCUUGUUAGGAUGGGAAUGGGAUGACUCUUGUCCUGGGGCUGUGGAGUCGAUGGGCAACAGUUAGAGGGCUGAAAUACAGAACUCCGAACUCCGACACAAUAUCAAGUUUCUCUUCUCCCGAGAACAGUUAGGAAAGUCCGUGUUUUGGACUCUGGCUUGACCUUAUCUUGAAAGAAGAAAGAAAAGCCUACAUAAGUUGCCAUGAUGUAAGAUGGGCCAGCUAAGUCGUAUGUUGGAGUAUGCUGCUGUCCAGGCAGCAUCCAGAAGGGGUAGGGCUGAGCCUUGGUCCUCCGUAACGGUUUGUGUCUUGUGGGUGGCCCCUCACGUGUGCCUCGUCAGCUUUCGAGUGCUUACUCUUUCAGUUGGCCUUGGUGGUGGCUCAGCACCGCGAUCGUACCAAUGUCCUGUCUGGCAUUAAGAUGGCAGCCCUAGAAGAGGGCCUGAAGAAGAUACUUUUAGCAGCAAA